AUUGAACGCUGGCGGCAGGCCUAACACAUGCAAGUCGAACGAGUGGCGGACGGGUGAGUAAUGUCUGGGAAACUGCCUGAUGGAGGGGGAUAACUACUGGAAACCGUAGCUAAUACCGCAUACCAUCAGAUGUGCCCAGAUGGGAGUAGCUGGUUGGUGGGUUAAAGGCUCACCAAGGCGACGAUCCCUAGCUGGUCUGCGAGGAUGACCAGUCACGCUGGAACUGAGAAACGGUCCAGAGGCCUACGGGAGGCAGCCGUGGGUAAUAUUGCACAAUGGGCGCAAGCCUGAUGCAGCCAUGCCGCGGUUAUGAAGAAGGCCUUCGGGUUGUAAAGUACUUUCAGUGGGGAGGCGUUACCCGCAGAAGAAGCACCGGCUAACUCCGUGCCAGCAGCCGCGGUAAUUC
rnacentral:rRNA from 1 species